AACGAACGCUGGCGGCAUGCCUAACACAUGCAAGUCGAACGAGACCUUCGGGUCUAGUGGCGCACGGGUGCGUAACGCGUGGGAACCUGCCCUUAGGUUCGGAAUAACUCCCCGAAAGGGGUGCUAAUACCGGAUAAUGUCUUCGGACCAAAGAUUUAUCGCCUUUGGAUGGGCCCGCGUUGGAUUAGCUAGUUGGUAGGGUAAAAGCCUACCAAGGCGACGAUCCAUAGCUGGUCUGAGAGGAUGAUCAGCCACACUGGGACUGAGACACGGCCCAGACUCCUACGGGAGGCAGCAGUGGGGAAUAUUGGACAAUGGGCGAAAGCCUGAUCCAGCGAUGCCGCGUGAGUGAUGAAGGCCUUAGGGUUGUAAAGCUCUUUUACCCGGGAUGAUAAUGACAGUACCGUGAGAAUAAGCUCCGGCUAAUUCCGUG
rnacentral:rRNA from 1 species